rnacentral:rRNA from 1 species
CCUACGGGAGGCAGCAGUGGGGAAUAUUGGACAAUGGGCGAAAGCCUGAUCCAGCAAUGCCGCGUGAGUGAUGAAGGCCUUCGGGCCGUAAAGCUCUUUUACCAGGGAUGAUAAUGACAGUACCUGGAGAAUAAGCUCCGGCUAACUCCGUGCCAGCAGCCGCGGUAAUACGGAGGGAGCUAGCGUUGUUCGGAAUUACUGGGCGUAAAGAGUACGUAGGCGGUUAUUCAAGUCAGAGGUGAAAGCCCGGGGCUCAACCCCGGAACUGCCUUUGAAACUAGAUAGCUAGAGUCUUGGAGAGGUUAGUGGAAUUCCGAGUGUAGAGGUGAAAUUCGUAGAUAUUCGGAAGAACACCAGUGGCGAAGGCGACUAACUGGACAAGUACUGACGCUGAGGUACGAAAGCGUGGGGAGCAAACAGGAUUAGAUACCCUGGUAGUCCACGCCGUAAACCGAUGAUAACUAGUUGUUCGGCCACUUGGUGACUGAGUGACGCAGCUAACGCAUUAAGUUAUCCGCCUGGGGAGUACGGUCGCAAGAUUAAAACUUAAAGGAAUUGACGG